CCUACGGGAGGCAGCAGUGGGGAAUUUUGCGCAAUGGGGGAAACCCUGACGCAGCAACGCCGCGUGGGUGAUGAAGGCCCUCGGGUCGUAAAGCUCUGUCUGGAGGGAAGAAAUGAUUGGGAGCUAAUACCUCUUGAUCUUGACGGUACCUCUGAAGGAAGCACCGGCUAACUCCGUGCCAGCAGCCGCGGUAAUA
rnacentral:rRNA from 1 species